UGUAAUUUUAAUUGUUGAUAUAUAUAUAGAGUCCGGCUGUGGUACUAUCGAUAGCACCAACUAUUUGGUGCUAUCGAGUUUUCCACUGUUAGAUUUAACUCUUUGAUUAUUUUUACCCGUUAGAUUAUACUAUUCAACCAACCAUCCACUCAAUCCUACGGGGUCCACAUCAUGCUAAUCGUACAUUAUUUUCAUCCAAAAACCAAAAACCGAAUAGCACCAAUAGUUUGUUGCUAUUGAUAGUAUUCCAACCUAGUUAUAUAUAUAUAUAUAUAUAUAUAUAUAUAGAGAGAGAGAGAGAGAGAGAGAGAGAGAGAGAGAGAGAAAGUUAGGCUGGAAUACUAUUGAUAGUAAAAGACCUUUUUUGCUAUCAAGUUUUUAACCCUUGGAUAAUAAAUUAUAAGGUUAGGAUGAUAUUAGUCCCUUAAGGUUGAAUGGUCCCCCUAGGGUUGAGUGGUCCCUACUGGGUUAUAAUAUUUAAUCUAAUGGUUAGAAAUGAUGAAAGAAAUUGAUUCAAAGGUUAAAACUUGAUAGCAAAAAGGAUCUUUUGUUAUCAAUAGUAUUUUAGCCCAACUAUAUAUAUAUAUAGAGAGAGAGAGAGAGAGAGAGAGAGCUAGGAUGGUAUACUAUCGGUAGCACGGAGGCCUACGUGCUACCAGGUCGUUUUCAAUGAUGUGGCUUCCUAAAUCGACGAUCGGCUCUGUUAGACUUGAUAUACACUAUUGAAAGUAUUUGGAAUUAAAUUUCAUAAAUUUUCGGCAUCAUUUACCUAUCAAACGAGUAGUCCAAAAAUGAAUAGCUAAAAAUAAAAAUUUUCUAAAAAAUGAUGAUAAAAGACUUGAAUUUAAGAUCAGAGAGUACCGAUCUUACUCUAAAUAGUGAAAAGAAUUUUCUAUAAAAAUUUCAACAUAUUUGGAUUGUUUUACACCGUUAAAUUUACAAACGCAUCACAUCUACCAUUAAAAUUGUCAAUUUUGAAACCUUUUGAUUACUAGCCAAAUAAUGUCGAAAAAUUAUGAAAUUUAGUUUCCAAAUAUUUUUAAUGGUAUAGAUCAAGUCUAACGGAGCUGAUCGUCGAUUUGGAAGCCGCAUCAUUGAAAACAACUUGGUAGCACGGAGGCUUCCGUGCUACCGAUAGUAUAACAGCCUAACUCUCUCUAAUAUAUAUAUAUAUAUAUAUAUAUAUAUAUAUAUAUAUAUAUAUAUAUAUAGAGAGAGAGAGAGAGAGAGAGAGAGAGAGAGAGAGAGAGAGAGAGAGAGAGAGAGAGAGAGAGUUGAGCUAGAAUACUAUCGAUUGCAAACAGACUCCGUUACCAACUAUUUGUUUUCGAUGGUAAAGCCUCCAAAUCGACAAUCGGCACCGUUGAACAUGAUCUAUAUUACUUGAAGUGUUUAGAAAUCAAAUUUUAUACAUUUUUUAUAUUGUUCUCUUAUCCAUCGAGUGGACACAAAAAUAAAUUGAUGAAAAGUAAUAUUUUUUAAAAAAUGAUACUAGAAGUUUUGUUGGAAUACUAUCGAUAGUACCAAGCGUUUGGUGCUAUCAAGUUUUUCGCCAUUAGAUUUAACCCUUUAACUAUUUUCACCCGUUAGAUUAUACUAUUAAACCAACAACUCACUUAACCCUAUAGGGCCCACAUCAUCCUAACGGUAUAUUUUUUCAUCCAACGGUAUGUUUUUUUAUCCAAGAGCCGAAAAUCUAAUAGCACCAAUAGGUUGGUGCUAUUGAUAGUAUUCCAGCCGAGAUCUAUAUAUGGCUGAGGUGCUUCUAAUAGCACCAAUGGCUGGGGUGCUUCUAAUAGCACCAAGCAUUUGGUGCUACCAAUUUUCCACCGUUAAAUUUAUCUUUAUGACCAUUUAUCUCUGUUAUAUCAUACUA
rnacentral:lncRNA from 1 species